rnacentral:tRNA from 1 species
GCCUCGAUAGCUCAGUCCUGGAAGAGCAUUACAUUGGUAAUGUAAAGGUCCUGGGUUCGAUUCCCAGUCGGGGCU